rnacentral:snRNA from 1 species
AUACCCUGGUUUCUUUUUUGGAUCAAAUAAUUCUUUUGCCUUUUACUAAAGAUUUCUGUGGAGAGGAACAACUCUGAGUUUUUGAUCAAUUUUUUGAGGCCUGCUUUGGCAAGGCU